rnacentral:rRNA from 1 species
UAAGGAAUAUUGGUCAAUGGGCGAGAGCCUGAACCAGCCAAGUAGCGUGCAGGAUGACGGCCCUAUGGGUUGUAAACUGCUUUUAUAUGGGGAUAAAGUGGGGAACGUGUUCCCUUUUGCAGGUACCAUAUGAAUAAGGACCGGCUAAUUCCGUGCCAGCAGCCGCGGUAAUACGGAAGGUUCGGGCGUUAUCCGGAUUUAUUGGGUUUAAAGGGAGCGUAGGCCGUUUGGUAAGCGUGUUGUGAAAUGUAGGAGCUCAACUUCUAGAUUGCAGCGCGAACUGUCAGACUUGAGUGCGCACAACGUAGGCGGAAUUCAUGGUGUAGCGGUGAAAUGCUUAGAUAUCAUGAAGAACUCCUAUUGCGAAGGCAGCUUACGGGAGCGCAACUGACGCUGAAGCUCGAAGGUGCGGGUAUCGAACAGG